rnacentral:rRNA from 1 species
CCUACGGGGGGCUGCAGUGGGGAAUAUUGGACAAUGGGGGGAACCCUGAUCCAGCCAUGCCGCGUGUGUGAAGAAGGCCCUCGGGUUGUAAAGCACUUUCAGUGAGGAAGAACGCCUGGUGGUUAAUACCCAUCAGGAAAGACAUCACUCACAGAAGAAGCACCGGCUAACUCCGUGCCAGCAGCCGCGGUAAUACGGAGGGUGCCAGCGUUAAUCGGAAUUACUGGGCGUAAAGCGCGCGUAGGUGGCUUGAUAAGCCGGUUGUGAAAGCCCCGGGCUCAACCUGGGAACGGCAUCCGGAACUGUCAAGCUAGAGUGCAGGAGAGGAAGGUAGAAUUCCCGGUGUAGCGGUGAAAUGCGUAGAGAUCGGGAGGAAUACCAGUGGCGAAGGCGGCCUUCUGGACUGACACUGACACUGAGGUGCGAAAGCGUGGGUAGCAAACAGGAUUAGAUACCCCUGUAGUC